ACCCUGGCAGUGGCGGACGGGUGAGUAACGCGUAGGAAUCUAUCCUGGUGGGGGGACAACCGUGGGAAACUACGGCUAAUACCGCAUGAUCCCUGAGGGGCAAAGGCGAAAGUCGCCUGAGGAGGAGCCUGCGUCUGAUUAGGUAGUUGGUGGGGUAAAGGCCUACCAAGCCCUACGAUCAGUAGCUGGUCUGAGAGGAUGAUCAGCCACAUUGGGACUGAGACACGGCCCAAACUCCUACGGGAGGCAGCAGUGGGGAAUAUUGGACAAUGGGCGCAAGCCUGAUCCAGCAAUGCCGCGUGGGUGAAGAAGGUCUUCGGAUUGUAAAGCCCUUUUGGCAGGGACGAUGAUGACGGUACCUGCAGAAUAAGCUCCGGCUAACUUCGUG
rnacentral:rRNA from 1 species